UACAGAGGGGGCAAGCGUUAUUCGGAAUUAUUGGGCGUAAAGGGCGCGUAGACGGCUUGGCAAGUGGAUGGUGAAAUCCCUCGGCUUAACCGAGGAACUGCCGUCCAAACUGCUUCGCUUGAGACCGGGAGAGGUGAGUGGAAUUCCCAGUGUAGCGGUGAAAUGCGUAGAUAUUGGGAGGAACACCAGUGGCGAAGGCGGCUCACUGGACCGGUACUGACGCUGAUGCGCGAAAGCGUGGGGAGCAAACGGG
rnacentral:rRNA from 1 species